UUACCCACAAUUCAUCUUGUCACUGUGAACUUGAAUUUAACCUCUAAUAUCGAGACGUCAUUUAUAAAUUCAAUGUUUAACAACAGUUUUCUUUUAAUAAUAUCAAGUUCAUUCCAAUUAACUAGUUAAGAACUUUUUGUUUGCUGAUAUCUUACUGUGAAUAUUGUAUAUGUUUUGCAAAGUUGACGGUCUAAUUUACUGAUGAAGGACAGGGCCUGAAACCAGGUCUAGACGAUAAAUUAAUAAAUUAUCACCAAAGUAUCAUUACAUAAUUUUUCUUUUAAAAUAGAUAAUAGAAUAGUUUGGAUUUAAUAAAUUUUAAAUUCAGACUUGGCAUUUAGAUUAAUGCAGUUUAUAUGAUUUUCUUUUAAUAGGUCAGAAAAGAUGACGUAAUAACUUAAAGAAUGAGUGUUGUUUUCAAGGUUGAUUGUCAGAUUUGUGAAUAGAAGUUGAAAGAGAAACUUAAGGAGGACAUUGCGAUGUGAAAACGUAAUUGUUUCUUAACCUUAAGUAACCUAGCUUGUUGUGAAUGAUAAUUAGUUUUUAUUUCAUAAAUAGAUUGAAGGUGAAUUGUAGUGAGUAAUGUGUAAGAAAUGAGUUUUUCAAACAAAAAUAAUGUAAAUAUCUAAAAUAAAACUUAAUUUGCAAUGAUUUCA